GAUGAACGCUGGCGGCGUGCCUAAUACAUGCAAGUCGAGCGAACAGACGAGGAGCUUGCUCCUCUGACGUUAGCGGCGGACGGGUGAGUAACACGUGGAUAACCUACCUAUAAGACUGGGAUAACUUCGGGAAACCGGAGCUAAUACCGGAUAAUAUAUUGAACCGCAUGGUUCAAUAGUGAAAGACGGUUUUGCUGUCACUUAUAGAUGGAUCCGCGCCGCAUUAGCUAGUUGGUAAGGUAACGGCUUACCAAGGCAACGAUGCGUAGCCGACCUGAGAGGGUGAUCGGCCACACUGGAACUGAGACACGGUCCAGACUCCUACGGGAGGCAGCAGUAGGGAAUCUUCCGCAAAGGGCGAAAGCUUGACGGAGCAACGCCGCGUGAGUGAUGAAGGUCUUCGGAUCGUAAAACUCUGCUAUUAGGGAAGAACAAAUGUGUAAGUAACUAUGCACGUCUUGACGGUACCUAAUCAGAAAGCCACGGCUAACUACGUG
rnacentral:rRNA from 1 species